CCGCUUCAACACUCAAGUUCAGCCCUGCCUACUGCAAAAACUACACCCUCUUUUACACUCAAUUCCUUGCAUCAAAAGCAACCGACAACUAAAAUAACUGUUAAAACAGACCCAAACACCUCUGACCCUGCAAGCACUGAGUCCAUCAAGACAGCAGCCUCACCCUCACGCACUGCACCUGAGUCUGACACAACAGUCUCUGGCUCUGCAAGCACUGUGUCCAUCGAGACAACAACCUCACCCUCACGCACUGCACCAAAUUCGAGCACAACAGGUAACAACAUCAGCAAAUAUGGCACAGAGUUGCUUAAUACAUACAGCAUAAGAAUUUUACUCUUGUCGCAAUAGAUUGAUGUUGAUUUAUGAGGGCAAUCUGACCAAAAACACCUUUUUUUUCUAGGAAUGAUCACUGAAUUACAAAAGAGUGAUCAGACCUCUUUAACUGA